rnacentral:rRNA from 1 species
GACGAACGCUGGCGGCGUGCUUAACACAUGCAAGUCGAACGGACAGGCCCUGCUUUUGUGGGGUGCUCGAGUGGCGAACGGGUGAGUAACACGUGAGUAACCUGCCCUUGACUUUGGGAUAACUUCAGGAAACUGGGGCUAAUACCGGAUAGGAGCUCCUGCUGCAUGGUGGGGAUUGGAAAGUUUCGGCGGUUGGGGAUGGACUCGCGGCUUAUCAGCUUGUUGGUGGGGUAGUGGCUUACCAAGGCUUUGACGGGUAGCCGGCCUGAGAGGGGGACCGGCCACAUUGGGACUGAGAUACGGCCCAGACGCCAACGGGAGGCAGCAGUGGGGAAUAUUGCACAGUGGGCGGAAGCCUGAUGCAGCAACGCCGCGUGCGGGAUGACGGCUUUCGGGUGGUAAACAGCUGUGGCCUGUGACGAAGCGUGAGUGACGGUAAUGGGUAAAGAAGCACCGGCUAACUACGUG